rnacentral:rRNA from 1 species
UACAGAGGUCUCAAGCGUUGUUCGGAUUCAUUGGGCGUAAAGGGUGCGUAGGCGGCGCGGUAAGUCGGGUGUGAAAUCUCGGGGCUUAACUCCGAAACUGCAUUCGAUACUGCCGUGCUUGAGGACUGGAGAGGAGACUGGAAUUUACGGUGUAGCGGUGAAAUGCGUAGAUAUCGUAAGGAAGACCAGUGGCGAAGGCGGGUCUCUGGGCCGAUAUUGACGCUGAGGAGCGAAAGCGUGGGGAGCGAACAGG